rnacentral:tRNA from 1 species
GGUGCUAUAGUGUAGUGGUUAUCACUCGGGAUUUUGACCGACACUUUCCCGAAACCCAGGUUCGAACCCUGGUAGCACCU